AAAAUACGGGAGGCAGCAGUGGGGAAUUUUGGACAAUGGGGGCAACCCUGAUCCAGCCAUGCCGCGUGUCUGAAGAAGGCCUUCGGGUUGUAAAGGACUUUUGUCCGGGAAGAAAAGCGCGAUGUUAAUACCAUUGCGUGCUGACGGUACCGGAAAGAAUAAGCACCGGCUAACUACGUGCCAGCAGCCGCGGUAAUUUUU
rnacentral:rRNA from 1 species